AUCAAAUCCCGCAAGGAUUGCUCUGUGUAACAUCCCUGACAACUCAUUGAAACGAAGGGUGAAACGGACUGUACGACAGCCAAAGAUGAAAUCCAUGAUCUGAAAUAGAUCAGUGUGUCAAUAUUGAAAGUGUGAUGGUUGAUUCAAGAGGCCGCGCACUUCCAACAAGGCCUGAUUGAAGUCUAACGCUUAAUAUUGGUAAAGGGAUAUACUGAAGUCAUGCUGAAGGCACAUGUCCGUACCCACACAUCUCGAGGGCGUUCUAGUGCCCUGACUGUGCCUACCCCUUCCGCAGGAAACACCACCUCCAGAGGUACCAGGAGAAAAUGCAUGGGGCAGCAAGAGGGGACACACGCUGACGGGCCUGGGCAGGGAAGAACCCACAGCUGGG